AACGUAGGAGACAAAGCGUUAUCCGGAGUUACUGGGCGUAAAGGGCGUGUAGGUGGUUUCGUAAGUCUGGCGUGAAAUUUUUACGGCCUCGAACCGGAAAAGCUGGCCUCUGAUACUGGUGGCCUCGUGGGAGGUAGGGGUCUGCGGAACUUCCGGUGGAGCGGUGAAAUGCGUAGAUAUCGGAAGGAACGCCGGUGGCGAAAGCGGCGGACUGGACCUCUUCUGACGCUGAGGCGCGAAAGCCAGGGGAGCAAACGGG
rnacentral:rRNA from 1 species